AUACUUAUGUGGCCAGGGAGCUACCAUGAUCACAAAGAUGGUGUUCUCUGAGCUAGGCUAAUCUACUUCACUCCAGAUAUGCAGACCCCUGUAAUUUCCCCAAGUUCAGGAAACUAAACUGCAUAAUUUGUGGCAGUGGGGGACUGAGUUUGCACUCUUCUCUG